rnacentral:rRNA from 1 species
ACUCAAAUGAAUAGACGGGGGCCCGCACAAGCGGUGGAGUAUGUGGCUUAAUUCGAUGCAACGCGAAGAACCUUACCUGGGCUUGACAUGCAUUGUGUCGUCGGUGAAAGCCGACUAGUGUAGCAAUACACGCUUUGCACAGGUGCUGCAUGGCUGUCGUCAGCUCGUGUCGUGAGAUGUUGGGUUAAGUCCCGCAACGAGCGCAACCCUUGUGAACUGUUGCUACCCAGUACCAUUUUGUUUCCAUUCGAAAUCCGGGAAACCAAAUGGAGAUAAAAUGGUGCUGGGGCACUCUGUUCAGACUGCCCUGUGAAACGGGGAGGAAGGUGGGGACGACGUCAAGUCAGUAUGGCCCUUACGCCCAGGGCUGCACACGUACUACAAUGCUCAGUACAGAAAGAUCCGAAAUCGCGAGGUGGAGGAAAUCAGUAAAACUGAGCCCAGUUCGGAUUGUAGGCUGCAACUCGCCUACAUGAAGCCGGAAUCGCUAGUAAUGGCGCAUCAGCUACGGCGCCGUGAAUACGUUCCCGGGCCUUGCACACACCGCCCGU